rnacentral:rRNA from 1 species
GACGAACGCUGGCGGCGUGCUUAACACAUGCAAGUCGAGCGGUAAGGCCCUUUCGGGGGUACACGAGCGGCGAACGGGUGAGUAACACGUGGGUGACCUGCCCUCAGCUCUGGGAUAAGCCUGGGAAACUGGGUCUAAUACUGGAUAUGACUCCACGGUGCAUGUCGUGGGGUGGAAAGCCUUGUGCGGCUGAGGAUGGGCCCGCGGCCUAUCAGCUUGUUGGUGGGGUGAGGCCUACCAAGGCGACGACGGGUAGCCGGCCUGAGAGGGCGACCGGCCACACUGGGACUGAGACACGGCCCAGACUCCUACGGGAGGCAGCAGUGGGGAAUCUUGCGCAAUGGGCGAAAGCCUGACGCAGCGACGCCGCGUGAGGGAUGACGGCCUGGUUGU